UACAGAUGUGAGGACACAGACUGUAGGAGACAGACGACAGAUAGGGGGAGACAGACAUAUGGGAGGAGACAGACGGUAGGAGACAGGCGACAGAUAGGGGGAGACAGAAAUAUGGGAGGAGACAGGAGACAGACGGUAGGAGACAGGGGACAGAUAGGGGGAGACACGAGACAGAUGGGAGGAGACAGGAGACAGACGGUAGUAGACAGGGGACAGAUCGGGGGAGACACGAGACAGAUGGGAGGAGACAGGAGAUAGACGGUAGGAGACAGGGGACAGAUAGGGGGAGGCAGGAGACAGAUGGGGGGGAGACAGGAGACAGACGGUAGGAGACUCGUAAUGACAGUGAUGAGAAACAUGAGUAAACCAAUUAACACAGUUGGUUGUGGUCUGUGUCUCAUGCUCCUCCUCCUCCUCCUCCUCCUCGAUGUGUUUGUGGUACUUGAAUAUAACGGGAAUAAAAUAGUCUGUAUUGAUUGUACGUAUUGUAUUGUAUUGACUGUCCCACGCCGACUUUCCCACCCUGACUGUCUCACCCCGACUGUCCCACCCCGACUGUCUCACCCUGACUGCCUCACCCUGACUGUCCCACCCCGACUGUCCCACAUGCUCAUCAUCUCAGACACUUUACCCUCCUGUUGUCUUUUCACUUCUCCACCUUCGCUCCUGCAUAACCUCCUUCUUCUCUUUUACAAAGUGCAACGCGAGCAGGAGGCGUCGCAUCGUCCCUCGUCCUGCAUUUAAGAAAGUUAAUCUGUAAAUCAGCUUGGGAGCGUCUACCUGCCUUUGGGUGAGGUCUUCAAGUUAAAAGCUAGCGGUCCAUCUGGACCAUCUGGAGGAGUCUUAUAAGAGCACGACUGCUCCCCAUAGUAAGAGGAUAAAGCUCUCAGACUGUGUGUCUGUGUGUGGGGGGCUAAUCUCCGUUAGCCUCCUCUUAACUACUUGUUCAGACCGAGGAGACGGAGGAUGCUUCUUUAUGCAGAGUAAGAUGCAGCGCUGGACCUCCGUGCGCAACAAGGACUCCAUGUCUCCGUACGGGGGGGAAGGAGAACAGGACUCUCCUCCAGAGGAGGAGAACGGCGUGGGCGAGGAGGCCGGCGAGGAGGUGAAAGGAGGCCGCAGCGUUCGCAGGUCUCUGUCGCUGGAGAUCUACGGCCUGCAGAGAGAGCCGCACGUCCACUUCUCCAACCGGGAGUACUACCGCCGGCUGGAGGGACUGAGGAGCAGCCACCUGAGGAACAUGGCCGAGCUGGAGAGGAUGUACAUUGGUCAGGGCGAGGAGAGGCCUGCUGAGGAGGAGGAGGAGGGGGAGGAGGGCGAGGAAGGGGGGGGAGGAGGGCAGAGCAGAGAGGACCGUCUGUCCGUCAGGUGGGAUUCAUCAGACUUACCUAGAGACGUCGUAGUAUUCAGUGGUUUCUCCCUGUCAGUCACAAUGUGACGCUCCUCUAAUUCGCUGUCUCGUUGGUUCAGCACAAUAAUGAGCUCGCUGUGGGCUUUUUGGGGGAUAACAAAUAAGCCCAUGAACUUAGUCUAAAACUAAUCUCAUGUUAUAUCAAGUUUGUAAACACUUUGUUACUAUGGCAACAACGGAGUUACUCUGAUUAAUCCAUUUCCUUUAAGUAGAAGUCAGAUUUAAGCAAAGACUGUAAUUCUUCUUAAUGGCAUAAGGGGACACUGUUGUAUAGAACAAGAUUCAUUGUGUGGCCUUCAUGUCUGGCAAAAUGCAAGGAAAGAAUAAGAAUAACAUAUGUGCGCUUCAGCUAUGAUAUUGUAGUAGAAGUACAAAUGUAAAGCCCGUGAGAGUGUGUAUUUUACUUGAAGGGUGGGUGUGAAGGUCGUGAUGUGUGACCUCUGCCCCCAGCAGCAGCCCAGCCAGUAAACUCCAGAGGAUCUACUCGCAGGAGGAGCUGGACCUCCACGACUCGUCCAGCGGGUCCGACCAGUCAGAAUUGGGGGGGGCAGAGAGCCUGGGGGAGCACGGGCAGGACACUCCACCGAGGACCCCUGUCCAGGACCGGGCCUUUACCAGAGACUUCCUGCUGAGCCCUGAGGACACGCCCACCCGGAACCAGUACCGGUUCCAACCCAACGACGCCGCCAGUGCGAAACCGCGGGGGAGAUCGUCCCGCCAAACCGGGUCCAGGGUCGGCUCCGACCUCAAGGCCACCGUGCCCAAACCCUU